rnacentral:rRNA from 1 species
UGAUGAAGGCCUAUAGGGUUGUAAAGCUCUUUUACCCGGGAUGAUAAUGUCGGUACCGGGAGAAUAAGCUCCGGCUAACUCCGUGCCAGCAGCCGCGGUAAUACGGAGGGAGCUAGCGUUAUUCGGAAUUACUGGGCGUAAAGCGCACGUAAGCGGCUUUGUAAGUUAGAGGUGAAAGCCUGGAGCUCAACUCCAGAAUUGCCUUUAAGACUGCAUCGCUUGAAUCCAGGAGAGGUGAGUGGAAUUCCGAGUGUAGAGGUGAAAUUCAAAGAUAUUCGGAAGAACACCAGUGGCGAAGGCGGCUCACAGGACUGGUAUUGACGCUGAGGUGCUAAAGCGUGGGGAGCAAACAGGAUUAAAUACCCUGGUAGUCCACGCCGUAAACGAUGAUGACUAGCUGUCGGGGCUCAUAGAGCUUCGGUGGCGCAGCUAACGCAUUAAGUUAUCCGCCUGGGGAGUACGGCCGCAAGGUUAAAACUCAAAUGAAUUGACGGGGGCCUGCACAAGCGGUGGAGACAUGUGGUUUAAUUCGAAGCAGACGCGCAGAACCUUACCAGGCGUUCUGACAUGUCCGAGACUUAUCUUCCAGA